CAGCAGCCGCGGUAAUUCCAGCUCCAAUAGCGUAUAUUAAAGUUGUUGCGGUUAAAACGUUCGUAGUUGAAUUUGUGUCCCACACGGGUAAUGCACCCAAGUGCGGGUUUUGCAUUACUUGUUGCUCUGUGCGUUUUGUGUAAAAGCAAACGUAUAGUGUGACUUUAAGUGUGACGGAUGUUUUACCGGUGAGGGAAACGACUAAUUAUGCCCCUAUAUUGGCUUUCGGGUUAUAUAUAUAGGUCAAGCAUAUUAAUACGCCCCUUAUGUUAAAAGACCCAUUUUAGUGCUCUUUACCGAGUGCUAUUGUGGGCCGGUACAAUUACUUUGAACAAAUUAGAGUGCUUAAAGCAGGCUAAAUUUAAUGAAAAUUAAAACGCCUGAAUAUAUUUUGCAUGGAAUAAUGGAAUAUGCCCUCUGGUCUAUUUGAUUGGUUUUUAGAUGCCAAGAGGUAAUGAUUAAUAGACGCAGUUGGGGGCAUUAGUAUUACGAGGCGAGAGGUGAAAUUCGUAGACCCUCGUAAGACUGACUUAAGCGAAAGCAUUUGCCAAGGAUGUUUUCAUUAAUCAAGAACGAAAGUUAGAGGAUCGAAGGCGAUCAGAUACCGCCCUAGUUCUAACCAUAAACGAUGCCAGCUAGCAAUUGAAUGUAGCUACUUAUUUCAGGCUCAUUCAGUCGCUUUCCGGGAAACCAAAGCUUUUGGGCUCCGGGGGAAGUAUGGUUGCAAAGCUGAAACUUAAAGGAAUUGACGGAAGGGCACCACCAGGAGUGGAGCCUGCGGCUUAAUUUGACUCAACACGGGAAAACUUACCAGGUCCGAACAUAAAUGAGUAAGACAGAUUGAUAGCUCUUUCUCGAAUCUAUG
rnacentral:rRNA from 1 species